AGCAGCCGCGGUAAUUCCAGCUCCAAUAGCGUAUAUUAAAGUUGUUGCAGUUAAAAAGCUCGUAGUUGAAUUUCGGGAUCAAAUUGUCGGUCGUGCCUCGGUACGCACUGGCGUUAUUGGUUCCUCCCUUCUGAAGAACCGCGAUGUCAUUAAUUUGGUGUCGCGGGGAAUCAGGACUGUUACUUUGAAAAAAUUAGAGUGUUUAAAGCAGGCUCGCGCUUGAAUACAUUAGCAUGGAAUAAUGAAAUAGGACGUUUGAUUCCAUUUUGUUGGUUUCUAGGAUCGACGUAAUGAUUAAUAGGGAUAGUUGGGGGCAUUAGUAUUCAAUUGUCAGAGGUGAAAUUCUUGGAUUUAUUGAAGACUAACUACUGCGAAAGCAUUUGCCAAGGAUGUUUUCAUUAAUCAAGAACGAAAGUUAGGGGAUCGAAGACGAUCAGAUACCGUCGUAGUCUUAACCAUAAACUAUGCCGACUAGGGAUCGGAUGAUGUUAAUUUUUUAAUGACUCAUUCGGCGCCUUAC
rnacentral:rRNA from 1 species